rfam:Populus trichocarpa scaffold_1_contig_119, whole genome shotgun sequence.
CAAUCUAUCCAAGGUAAAUUCUUAUUUAGUUGUGGCAGACCCACACUUAACUACUAAAAAUCACCCGUGAAAACUAAUGCACGAGCAGUAACUUUUUAAGAUUUUAAU